rnacentral:rRNA from 1 species
GGCCAACCGGCAGGAGGCUCAUCACCCUGUGACAUACCUAUAACGUUGCCUCGGCGGGAACAGACGGCCCCGUAACACGGGCCGCCCCCGCCAGAGGACCCCCUAACUCUGUUUCUAUAAUGUUUCUUCUGAGUAAACAAGCAAAUAAAUUAAAACUUUCAACAACGGAUCUCUUGGCUCUGGCAUCGAUGAAGAACGCAGCGAAAUGCGAUAAGUAAUGUGAAUUGCAGAAUUCAGUGAAUCAUCGAAUCUUUGAACGCACAUUGCGCCCGCCAGUAUUCUGGCGGGCAUGCCUGUUCGAGCGUCAUUACAACCCUCAGGCCCCCGGGCCUGGCGUUGGGGAUCGGCGGAAGCCCCCUGCGGGCACAACGCCGUCCCCCAAAUACAGUGGCGGUCCCGCCGCAGCUUCCAUUGCGUAGUAGCUAACACCUCGCAACUGGAGAGCGGCGCGGCCACGCCGUAAAACACCCAACUUCUGAAUGUUGACCUCGAAUCAGGUAGGAAUACCCGCUGAACUUAAGCAUAUCAAUAAGCGGAGGA